rnacentral:rRNA from 1 species
AGAGUUUGAUCCUGGCUCAGGAUGAACGCUGGCGGCGUGCUUAACACAUGCAAGUCGAACGAAGCACUUUUGCUGAGACCUUCGGGUGGAUUUAAAAGUGACUGAGUGGCGGACGGGUGAGUAACGCGUGGGUAACCUGCCUCACACAGGGGGAUAACAGUUAGAAAUGACUGCUAAUACCGCAUAAGCGCACGGUCUCGCAUGGGACAGUGUGAAAAACUCCGGUGGUGUGAGAUGGACCCGCGUCUGAUUAGCUAGUUGGUGGGGUAACGGCCUACCAAGGCGACGAUCAGUAGCCGACCUGAGAGGGUGACCGGCCACAUUGGGACUGAGACACGGCCCAAACCCCUACGGGAGGCAGCAGUGGGGAAUAUUGCACAAUGGGGGAAACCCUGAUGCAGCGACGCCGCGUGAUUGAAGAAGUAUUUCGGUAUGUAAAGAUCUAUCAGCAAGGAAGAAAAUGACGGUACUUGACUAAGAAGCCCCGGCUAACUACGUGCCAGCAGCCGCGGU